UACGGGGGGGGCAAGCGUUGUUCGGAAUUACUGGGCGUAAAGGGCUCGUAGGUGGCCAACUAAGUCAGACGUGAAAUCCCUCAGCUUAACUGGGGAACUGCGUCUGAUACUGGAUGGCUUGAGUUUGGGAGAGGGAUGCGGAAUUCCUGGUGUAGCGGUGGAAUGCGCGGAUAUCAGGAGGAACACCAAUAGCGAAGGCAGCUCGCUGGGACGGUAUUGACGCUAAGGCGCGAAAGCGUGGGGAGCAAACAGG
rnacentral:rRNA from 1 species